CCUACGGGAGGCUGCAGUGGGGAAUAUUGGGCAAUGGAGGAAACUCUGACCCAGCAAUGCCGCGUGAAUGAAGAAGGUCUUCGGAUUGUAAAGUACUUUAGUCAGGGAAGAAUAAAAUGACGGUACCUGAAGAAUAAGCUCAGGCUAACUACGUGCCAGCAGCCGGGGUAAUACGUAGGGAGCAAGCGGUGAUCGGAAUGACUGGGCGUAAAGGGUGCGUAGGCGGGUAUAAAAGUUAGCAGUGAAAUACCCAGGGAUUAACUCGGGUGCUGCUUCUAAAACUGUAAGUCUUGAGUGCAGUAGAGGUGAGUAGAAGUCCAAGUGUAGCGGUGGAAUGCGUAGAUAUUAGGAGGAACACUAGAGGCGAAGGCGGCUAACUGGACUGCAACUGACGCUGAGGCACGAAAGUGUGGGGAGCAAACAGGAUUAGAUACCCGUGUAGUC
rnacentral:rRNA from 1 species